UUUUUAGAUGUUGAUUAUUUUACUAUUUCUUUAUUGUUUACCAUAGUUUACAUUAUACUUCAAAUUAUUAAAUUGUCAUGUAAAUCAGGACUGUUAGCACUUUGCAGACACUUUAUUUCUCUAAUAUCUUUUUACAUAUUGUUAUUGUUGUCAUUUAAAUCUACUUAUAUUUAAACACCAUGCAACAUCAUCGUUAUCGUCACAACAGUUAAUAUCCAAUUAUAUUUAUCCAAGUAUUUUUUUCUUUUUUCUUGAUCCUUAUUCUUUCCUUUGUUUACCUCUAUCUUAGAUCGUUUUUCUUUUUCCUAAAGAUCCUAUUUGAGGUCUUUUGUAUCUGUCUAAAAAUAUCUUCAUUUCAACUUAUUUUUUUUGAAGCACAUUAUUUUUGGUUUGUUAUAGUAAAAUAAUUGUUAGGAGUUUUUUUAUUGCUCUGUAAAGCAUUUUUACAAUUGACAUUGGGCUUUCUUCUCUCUCUCCUCUCUCUGUCUCUCUCUGUGUGUGUGUAUGUGUGUGUUUGAAUUUGCUAUUAGUAUUAUAGAUAGCACUUUAUAAGCAGUGCUCCUUUUUUCUUUGGUUGAUUUUUAAAGAUUUUGUAUUUGUUUUUGACAAUCAAGAUUUUUACAUAAUUUGUCUAAAUUUUUUGGGUUUUUUUUUUGCUCUGUUUUAUUUUGCCCCAUAUUUAUAUCACUUUUUGAAUCUGUGGCAUGUUUUAAGUCAGUUUUGGAAAACAUGCAUAUCUCUUCAAGUUUUCUGUUCUCCUUCCUAUUUCUUCUCCUCCUUCAAAAAUGAGGGUACUUUAAUUUUUUUUUAACUUUAUCUCAUGUUCUCUUUGGUGGUUUCUUGUAUUUUCUGUUUGGAUUAUUUACAUAACAGCUUUGUGAAGUUUACAAGUUGCCAAAUAACUUGAAAGAAAUAUCAGUACAGCAAUGUAACCACUGUAUAAGUAAGAACUUGGUCUAGAUGCAUCAGUGGUGUCAUAUAUUUGCAGCUGCCUUCUUGAAUCACAGGGUCUUCACUCAAGGUGUAAAAUAACCCAUCCAAUUUAAACUCCUAUAACGAGUAUUUGAUCAUAUUUACAUCAAGCUGCAGGAAGAUUUUACCCUGAGUGACAGUGUAUUCAGCUAAAAAUGUAAGCAUCACCUUCCUGUUUAAAGUUGGUGUGCCCUAGAUCUUGGCUUUGUUUCCUUUUUUUGUUGAAAGGCACAGCUUAAUGAUCUCAUACUGUCUCAAGGAUACACAUACUAUCUAUAUUCCAAAAAAUAUUAUAUUUGUAUCUCUAACUUAGACUUCUCUCUGGAGCACCAGCUUGCUAUAUCCAUUUCCUACAUUAAGGCUGUGCAUUGUUGUCUAGUAAAUAUUUUAAACUCUACAUAUUCAGAACUAAUUAUGUCCAUCUUUUUUUUUCCAAAACAUGAUUCAUCUAUUCUACAUCUCAGUAACUUGGUCAUUGAACCAAGGAACCUUUCUUUAAUCUUUUCUAAUUCAGGUUAAAUUCUUUUUGGUCUUUCCUUCGAAAUAUACCCCAAAUGAAAUUAUUUCUCAUCACCUUCGUUGCUACACCUAUGUCUGAGCCAGAACCAUCUUUGAAUUGAACUAUUGCAAUUGUCUUCUAUCUGUUUGAACCUUGUCACUCUGCAAGCUAUUCUCAACAUAUUAACUGAGUAGAACUUAUAAAUUGUAAUUCUGAUAAUUUAUCUCUUCUAUUCAAAACUCCAAUGUGGCUCUUCAUUGCACUAAUAAUUAAAGCCAAAUACCCUUUCUAAGCUGCCCCCUCCACUACCUCAUUGACAUAUCUCUCUUUUACUGAUUGCCUUAGGACUCCAAACACACUAACUUCCUUGCUGUUCUGACGUACCUUCAAACAUUUAUUCAUCUGCCCCUCUGCUUGAGUUGCAUGCUUUAGCCUAGUUAUCCACUUGGAUCUGUCAUGUCUUUGCUCAGGUAUUACUUCCUCAAUCAGGACUGCUUUGUUUAUGUUAUUCAGCACUAAAACCUCAUCCCCACAACACUUUAGCAUUUCUUGUUAAUUUUAAUAUUUUUU
rnacentral:lncRNA from 1 species